GACGAACGCUGGCGGCGUGCUUAACACAUGCAAGUCGAACGGAAAGGCCCUGCUUUUGUGGGGUGCUCGAGUGGCGAACGGGUGAGUAACACGUGAGUAACCUGCCCUUGACUUUGGGAUAACUUCAGGAAACUGGGGCUAAUACCGGAUAGGAGCUCCUGCUGCAUGGUGGUGGUUGGAAAGUUUCGGCGGUUGGGGAUGGACUCGCGGCUUAUCCGCUUGUUGGUGGGGUAGUGGCUUACCAAGGCUUUGACGGGUAGCCGGCCUGAGAGGGUGACCGGCCACAUUGGGACUGAGAUACGGCCCAGACUCCUACGGGAGGCAGCAGUGGGGAAUAUUGCACAAUGGGCGGAAGCCUGAUGCAGCAACGCCGCGUGCGGGAUGACGGCCUUCGGGUUGUAAACCGCUUUCGCCUGUGACGAAGCGUGAGUGACGGUAAUGGGUAAAGAAGCACCGGCUAACUACGUG
rnacentral:rRNA from 1 species